rnacentral:rRNA from 1 species
AAAUUGAAGAGUUUGAUCAUGGCUCAGAUUGAACGCUGGCGGCAGGCCUAACACAUGCAAGUCGAACGGUAACAGGAAUCAGCUUGCUGCUUUGCUGACGAGUGGCGGACGGGUGAGUAAGGUCUGGGAAACUGCCUGAUGGAGGGGGAUAGCUACUGUAAACGGUGGCUAAUCCCGCAUAAUGUCGCAAGACCAAAGAGGGG